AGUGGCGGACGGGUGAGUAACACGUGGGUAACCUGCCCAGAAGUGGGGGAUAACAUUUGGAAACAAGUGCUAAUACCGCAUAACAACUUAGAUCACAUGAUCUUUGUUUAAAAGAUGGUUUUGCUAUCUCUUCUGGAUGGACCCGCGGCGUAUUAGCUAGUUGGUGAGGUAAUAGCUCACCAAGGCGAUGAUACGUAGCCGACCUGAGAGGGUAAUCGGCCACAUUGGGACUGAGACACGGCCCAAACUCC
rnacentral:rRNA from 1 species